AACGAACGCUGGCGGCAUGCCUAACACAUGCAAGUCGAACGAGACCUUCGGGUCUAGUGGCGCACGGGUGCGUAACGCGUGGGAACCUUCCCUUAGGUUCGGAAUAACUCCCCGAAAGGGGUGCUAAUACCGGAUAAUGUCUUCGGACCAAAGAUUUAUCGCCUUUGGAUGUGCCCGCGUUGGAUUAGCUAGUUGGUAGGGUAAAAGCCUACCAAGGCGACGAUCCAUAGCUGGUCUGAGAGGAUGAUCAGCCACACUGGGACUGAGACACGGCCCAGAAUCCUACGGGAGGCAGCAGUGGGGAAUAUUGGACAAUGGGCGAAAGCCUGAUCCAGCAAUGCCGCGUGAGUGAUGAAGGCAUUAGGGUUGUAAAGCUCUUUUACCCGGGAUGAUAAUGACAGUACCGGGAGAAUAAGCUCCGGCUAACUCCGUG
rnacentral:rRNA from 1 species